GGUGAGUAAUGUCUGGGAAACUGCCUGAUGGAGGGGGAUAACUACUGGAAACGGUAGCUAAUACCGCAUAACGUCGCAAGACCAAAGAGGGGGACCUUCGGGCCUCUUGCCAUCGGAUGUGCCCAGAUGGGAUUAGCUAGUAGGUGGGGUAACGGCUCACCUAGGCGACGAUCCCUAGCUGGUCUGAGAGGAUGACCAGCCACACUGGAACUGAGACACGGUCCAGACUCCUACGGGAGGCAGCAGUGGGGAAUAUUGCACAAUGGGCGCAAGCCUGAUGCAGCCAUGCCGCGUGUAUGAAGAAGGCCUUCGGGUUGUAAAGU
rnacentral:rRNA from 1 species